CAGGGAAUCUUGCACAAUGGGCGAAAGCCUGAUGCAGCGACGCCGCGUGGGGGAUGAAGGCCUUAGGGUCGUAAACCCCUUUCAGCAGGGACGAAAAUGACGGUACCUGCAGAAGAAGCUCCGGCCAACUACGUGCCAGCAGCCGCGGUAAGACGUAGGGGGCGAGCGUUGUCCGGAUUUAUUGGGCGUAAAGAGCUCGUAGGCGGUUGCGUAAGUCGGAUGUGAAAACUCAGGGCUCAACCCUGAGACGCCAUCCGAUACUGCGCUGACUUGAAUCCAGUAGGGGAGUGUGGAAUUCCUGGUGUAGCGGUGAAAUGCGCAGAUAUCAGGAGGAACACCCAUGGCGAAGGCAGCACUCUGGGCUGGUAUUGACGCUGAGGAGCGAAAGCAUGGGUAGCGAACAGGAUUAGAUACCCCAGUAGUCCCUGAGCGGGCUGGCAAGGCG
rnacentral:rRNA from 1 species